rnacentral:rRNA from 1 species
UACGAAGGGGGCUAGCGUUGCUCGGAAUCACUGGGCGUACAGCGCACGUCGGCGGACUCUUAAGUCGGUGGUGAAAUCCUGGAGCUCAACUCCAGAACUGCCUCCGAUACUGGGAGCCUUCGAGUCCGGGAGAGGUGAGUGGAACUGCGAGUGUAGAGGUGAAAUUCGUAGAUAUUCGCAAGAACACCAGUGGCGAAGGCGGCUCACUGGCCCGGUACUGACGCUGAGGUGCGAAAGCGUGGGGAGCAAACAGG